UGGGAUAUAGCUCAUUUGGUAGAGUGCUUGCCUUGCACGCAUGAGGGCCUGGGUUCAAUCCCCAGCACCAA
rnacentral:tRNA from 1 species